rnacentral:rRNA from 1 species
UACGUAGGGGGCGAGCGUUGUCCGGAAUUAUUGGGCGUAAAGAGCGUGUAGGCGGUUCGGUAAGUCUGCCGUGAAAACCUGGGGCUCAACCCCGGGCGUGCGGUGGAUACUGCCGGGCUAGAGGGUGGUAGAGGCGAGUGGAAUUCCCGGUGUAGCGGUGAAAUGCGCAGAUAUCGGGAGGAACACCAGUAGCGAAGGCAGCUCGCUGGGACGGUAUUGACGCUAAGGCGCGAAAGCGUGGGGAGCAAACAGG